rnacentral:rRNA from 1 species
GGCCAGACUCCUACGGGAGGCAGCAGUGGGGAAUAUUGCACAAUGGGGGAAACCCUGAUGCAGCGACGCCGCGUGAGUGAAGAAGUAUUUCGGUAUGUAAAGCUCUAUCAGCAGGGAAGAAAAUGACGGUACCUGACUAAGAAGCCCCGGCUAACUACGUGCCAGCAGCCGCGGUAAUACGUAGGGGGCAAGCGUUAUCCGGAUUUACUGGGUGUAAAGGGAGCGUAGACGGCAUGGCAAGUCAGAUGUGAAAGCCCGGGGCUCAACCCCGGGACUGCAUUUGAAACUGUCAGGCUGGAGUGCAGGAGAGGUAAGUGGAAUUCCUAGUGUAGCGGUGAAAUGCGUAGAUAUUAGGAGGAACACCAGUGGCGAAGGCGGCUUACUGGACUGUAACUGACGUUGGGGCUCGAAAGCGUGGGGAGCAAACAGGAUUAGAUACCCCAGUAGC